UUCUCUGUACUUCUCUAUCAACAUCCUCAAAGCAAAUAUUGCAUCUGCUGUACUCUUUCUUGGCAUGAAACCAUACUGCUGCUCACAGAUGUUCACCUCUGCCCUUAGUCUAGCUUCAACUACUCUUUCCCAUAGCUUCAUCGUGUGGCUCAUCAGCUUUAUUCCUCUGUAGUUGCCACAACUCUGCACAUCUCCCUUGUUCUUAAAGCUGGGCACCAGUACACUUCUCCUCCAUUCCUCAGGCAUCUUCUCACUAUCUAAGAUCCUGCUGAACAACCCAGUCAGAAACUCUACUGCUACCUCUCUGAGACACUUCCAUACCUCCACAGGUAUAUCAUCAGGACCAAGUGCCUUUCCACUCUUCAUCCUCUUCAAUGCCCUCCUCACUUCAUCCUUACUAAUCUUUGCUACUUCCUGGUCCACAACAGUUGCCUCUUCUACUUCUUCGUUCUCUCUCAUUUUUGCUCUGCUCUGCAUCACUUCAUCAAGGUCCAACCAGAAUUUCUCCUUCUCCUCCCGCUCACAUCCAACCUGUGGAGCAUACCCACUAACAACAGUGAACAUCACACCUUCAAUUUCUAGCUUCAGGCUCAUCACUCGAUCUGACACUCUUUUUACCUCCAGGACAUUCCUAACAAACUCCUCCUUCAAGAUAACUCCUACUCCAUUUCUCUUCCUAUCUACACCAUGAUAGAACAACUUGAACCCUGCUCCUAAACUUCUAGCUUUACUACCUUUCCACCUGGUCUCCUGGACACUCAGUAUGUCCACCUUCCUCCUCUGCAUCAUGUCAACCAGCUCUCUACCUUUUCCUGUCAUAGUUCCAAUAUUCAAGGUCCCUACUCUCAGUCCUAGACUCUUGGUGUUCCUCUUGUCUCUCUUCCUACGAACACACCUUCCUCCCCUCCUUCUUUGACCAACAGUAGUCCAUUUUCCACCGGCACCCUGUAGGUCAACAGCACCGAUGGCGGUCAUUGUUAACCCGGGCCUCGACCGAUCCGGUAUGGAAGUCAUACAUUUGAUUCGCAUGUUUGAUUUGGCCAAAGUUUUACGUCGGAUGCCCUUCCUGCCACAACCCUCUGUAUUUAUCCGGGCUUGGGACCGGCACAGUAAGGCACUGUACAUUUACGGUGCUGAAAUAAGAGGAUUUAGAUUUAUUUUCUUAAAAGAAUGACUUGCACAGAUUAAUUAUCAGAAAAGUUGCAGAUGCAUUCAAUAGAUUGUUUCUAUAAGACAGCUGUAAAUGAGACAGAAAAGAUGGUUGAGAGAGAGAGAGAGAGUAUGAUGCACAGCAAAUGUGGACUGCUCUGUGUUUUACUUUCAGAAGUGAAAACAUAGAUUAAAAGUCAGUCAAACUCCUUUCUAGAGCCAGAAAGUGAGUGUGCUUGCUCCUUUAAUGACUUAAUUGUCAUUACAUGCCAGUUAUCCAACUGGAAUGUAAAUGGAACACAUCUAAUAUUGAUAUUAUUCUUUACUGCUAUGUUUUCUCUGCAUGCUGUGAGAAUUUCUUUAGAAUGUGUUGCAGUAAGCUAGUCAUGCUACAUGCAAAAUUUUGUUUCCUAUGAAUGUUUUCUAGGAGACGAACCUGUGACUCAAGAUAAGAAAGGUACUUCAAAGCAGCAGCUUGGACAGAAACAAGGCUCAGGAGGUGCUAGAAAGGGAAAACGAAUGUGGUCAACAGAGGAGGUGAAAGCAGUUGAAAAGUCUCUGAUGGAGUUCAUUCGUACUGGCAAGACCCCUGGGAAAACAAGCCUGUGAGAAGUGCAUCGCUGCUUCCCCUGAAGCCCUCGCUGACAGGGACUGGAAAGCGGUCAAGUUCUAUGUUUAUAACAGAAUUAUUUCCAAUCAGAAACUGUAGACAUGGACCAUGCUUAUGAAGGUAGGCCUACACCUUCCACACCAAGACAGGAGGCCUUCAGUUUCCAUAGGAUACAUGGUGUAUCUACUAUAUGCUGGCUGUACACAUAGUGAGGCUGAAACUGUUCAUCUGUUGUAAAAAGUUACAUGUAAUCACUGUUAAAGGGUUCGAUUAAAGGACCCUGAGAGGUUCCUUUAAAAAAAAAAAAAAACACAUUUUUCCUUUAAUCCGUUUAAAGUUGGACUGAUCAGAGACUUUAUGCAGUCAAUACACUAUUACUGAUGCUGAAAAAUAGUAAACAUUUCAACUGUAAAAAAAAGGAUAAAUGUUGUUCGCUGGCAAACAGAGAAGAAAGUUUUAUCAGCAGCAGGUGGAAGAACCGGUUUGUGUUUUAUAUAUUAAUCAGUGAAUUUAGCCUUUUCCAGGUUGGUUUUCUGGUUAGAUUUAGUGUUUUGUCAGCAUUCAUCAGUUGAUAAUUAUCUCCAGUUGCUUGCAAUAUGGUGCACAUGUUUGCUGUUUUAAAUGUGAUAUUUAGUUUUAAAGAGUUCAAGUCUGUUUUUUGAAACCGAGUGAAAAGUUAAGGGGCCUUUCACUUAUAAUGCAAUGCAGUACAAUGCAACAACUUCCUGGUUCAUUUUUUUUUUUUUUUACUGCGGUAAAACUUUUGGAUAUGUAGGUGCCUUCUCAGACAGAACACCUACAUAUCCAAAUGGUUCACCGCAGUAAAAAGAUGAACCAGGAAAUUGUUGCAUUGUAAGUUUGCUGUACACAUAGUGAGGCUGAAAGUGUCAUCUGUUGUAAAAACUAGAAAAAAGUUGCAUGUAAUCAUUGUUAAAGGGUUUGAUUAAAGCACCCUAAAGGUUAAGGGGCCUUUCACUUAUAAUGCAAUACAAUGCAACAACUUCCUGGUUCAUCUUUUUUACUGCGGUGAACUUUUGGAUACUGUUAUUACUGUAUUAGGUUCACACCUGUUCAUUAAAGGAGACGUGCUCAUU